rnacentral:rRNA from 1 species
UACGUAGGUGACAAGCGUUGUCCGGAUUUACUGGGCGUAAAGAGCGCGCAGGCGGUCGAUCAAGUCGAGUGUGAAAGCCCCCGGCUCAACUGGGGAGGGUCAUUCGAUACUGAUCGACUCGAAGGCAGGAGAGGGGAGUGGAAUUCCCGGUGUAGUGGUGAAAUGCGUAGAUAUCGGGAGGAACACCAGUGGCGAAGGCGACUACCUGGCCUGUUCUUGACGCUGAGGCGCGAAAGCUAGGGGAGCAAACGGG